UAUUAAUGAAAAUUUUUACAAGAUUAAGUAUUACAAUAUGUUAUAUGAAGUUUUAAUCUUAAUUAGCAUAAAUUGGUGACUUUUAAACAUUGAUUUAUAAAUAUUAUUGUGUAUUAAAGAUGAUUUAUUAAAGCAGGAAAGUACAUACAAUGUUGUUAUAAUUUUGUGGAUACAUCUGUUCCUGAUUUCAUAUAUACGAUUGCCCAAUGUGUUCAAUCUGGACUACCAAAGUCGGGCUCUCAUUUGUAUAAUAAAUUAAAACUCACUGACACUCUAUGAAUUUACAUGUAUUUCAUUUAACAGUAAAAAAAAAUAUUUUAAGUAAUAAUUUUCCAGAAAGUCUUAAAACCGCCCAGGACCUCCUGAUUUCACUGAGUACGAAAGGUUUUCUUAGAACAAAAAUAAAGAUACAAGUUGCAAAAAAAUAGAUCUAAUUCAAUGCAAAAUGUGGCGAUCAAACACCCGUGUUAACAGCGUUUGUUUAAUGGUUAACAAUGCACUGGGCACGUGUCGUUAAAUAACAAACUAAUAAACAAUAUAAUAGAGUUGUAAGGUAAUAAAUAUUUCAGGUAUUGGGCAUUUGUCAUCAUCAUGAUUAGAUUAUCUAAUUAACAAAAAACACUUAAAACUUUAUAUUUCAAUUUACUAAUAAAAUACAAAAUGUAAGUACUAAAAU
rnacentral:lncRNA from 1 species